ACUCUAUUAAGACUGCCGCUGACAAGGCUGAGGAAGGUGGGGACGACGUCAAGUCAUCAAGGCCCUUACGACCAGGGCUACACACGUGCUACAAUGGGUAUUACCGAGGGCUGCGAAGGUGCGAGCUGGAGCGAAACUCAAAAAGGUACUCUUAGUCCGGAUUGCAGUCUGCAACACGACUGCAUGAAGACGGAAUCGCUAGUAAUCGCACGUCAGAAUACUGCGGUGAAUACGUUCCCGGGUCUU
rnacentral:rRNA from 1 species